rnacentral:rRNA from 1 species
UACAGAGGGUGCAGGCGUUGUUCGGAAUUAUUGGGCGUAAAGCGCGUGUAGGCGGCUUUGCAAGUCGGGUGUGAAAGCCCUCAGCUCAACUGAGGAAGUGCGCCCGAAACUGCAGAGCUUGAGUACCGGAGAGGAUGGUGGAAUUCCCCAAGUAGAGGUGAAAUUCGUAGAUAUGGGGAGGAACACCGGUGGCGAAGGCGACCAUCUGGACGGAUACUGACGCUGAGACGCGAAAGCGUGGGUAGCAAACAGG